CAGCAGCCGCGGGAAUACGUAGGGUGCAAGCGUUGUCCGGAUUUAUUGGGCGUAAAGCGCGUCUAGGUGGUUAUGUAAGUCUGAUGUGAAAAUGCAGGGCUCAACUCUGUAUUGCGUUGGAAACUGUGUAACUAGAGUACUGGAGAGGUAAGCGGAACUACAAGUGUGGAGGUGAAAUUCGUAGAUAUUUGUAGGAAUGCCGAUGGGGAAGCCAGCUUACUGGACAGAUACUGACGCUGAAGCGCGAAAGCGUGGGUAGCAAACAGGAUUAGAUACCCGCGUAGUCCCUGUCUCUUAUACC
rnacentral:rRNA from 1 species